CUGGAAAAUAUUACAUCUUCAUGUAAGGCCCCCCUUCAUUGGAAAACCUCCAUUUUUAGGCACAGGGUCAUAUAAAUUUGACUUUUGAAUAAUUAUGCUAAGUCUGAUAUAUCAAAUGAGUACUCUAUUGCUUUAAAUACAUGAUAUAUUAUAUAUUAAGGCAUUUUAAAAGUAUUUUUUUGCAAUAUUUAAAUUUUAAAAGCCCC
rnacentral:lncRNA from 1 species